rnacentral:rRNA from 1 species
UACGGAGGGAGCUAGCGUUGUUCGGAAUUACUGGGCGUAAAGCGCACGUAGGCGGCGAUUCAAGUCAGAGGUGAAAGCCCGGGGCUCAACCCCGGAACUGCCUUUGAAACUAGAUUGCUAGAAUCUUGGAGAGGUCAGUGGAAUUCCGAGUGUAGAGGUGAAAUUCGUAGAUAUUCGGGAAGAACACCAGUGGCGAAGGCGACUGACUGGACAAGUAUUGACGCUGAGGUGCGAAAGCGUGGGGAGCAAACAGG